rnacentral:tRNA from 1 species
UCUAAUAUGACAGAUUAAUGUAUUGAACUUAAGAUUCAAAAAUAAAGUUUACACUUUUAUUAGAA